GCCAAUCAAAGAGUCUAACUCUGGCCUCUCUCCCGAGGUGACCAAUGGGUGAGACGGAGGAUCCACUCCCUCCCAGCUGAGAGCGCACAACACAUUGUCCACGUGAGUCAGCCUCUUAAAGGAGCCCCCUCCGCCUCGCUAAUUGCAGCAGCUGGGACUCAUUGGGCGGUCAUCCGCGUCAGCAGGUGGCAGCUGAGGCCUAGCUUCCGGCUGUCCAAUGGGGCCCGGUGAUGACAAAUGAAAACAACAGGCUGUUUUCUAGACAACCAGAUCCUUACAUUCUAGGAGAUACUGAUGUACCAGUGAUCUCAUACAGAUUUGCAGACAGUGAAUUUUUGCCAGGAAAAAGAGUCUGAUGAGGAAGCGUGCAGAGGGCAUCUGCACC